rnacentral:rRNA from 1 species
UACGGGGGGGGCAAGCGUUGUUCGGAAUUACUGGGCGUAAAGGGCUCGUAGGUGGCCAACUAAGUCAGACGUGAAAUCCCUCGGCUUAACCGGGGAACUGCGUCUGAUACUGGAUGGCUUGAGUUUGGGAGAGGGAUGCGGAAUUCCGGGUGUAGCGGUGAAAUGCGUAGAUAUCCGGAGGAACACCGGUGGCGAAGGCGGCUUCCUGGACCGACACUGACGCUGAGGCGCGAAAGCUAGGGGAGCAAACGGG